UUAAAUUAAAAUGUUUAGUUUAAUAACGAUCACAGUUAUAGUUAUUGCAAUUUCAGUUACUAUACCACCUACUUCAGGUCAUGACCUGGUUAUCAGACAAAAUUAUUGUCGUAGUUUUCUAACAUAUUAUUGUGGAUUUCAGAGUA